UACAGAGGUCCCAAGCGUUGUUCGGAUUUACUGGGCGUAAAGAGCUCGUAGGCGGUUUGUCGCGUCUGCCGUGAAAGUCCGGGGCUCAACUCCGGAUCUGCGGUGGGUACGGGCAGACUAGAGUGAUGUAGGGGAGACUGGAAUUCCUGGUGUAGCGGUGAAAUGCGCAGAUAUCAGGAGGAACACCGGUGGCGAAGGCGGGUCUCUGGGCCGUAACUGACGCUGAGGCGCGAAAGCCAGGGGAGCGAACGGG
rnacentral:rRNA from 1 species